UCAAGGCCCGAGCUGCAGUCUCCCCAGUCAAAAUCCAUUAGUAUGACUUUUUAGUCUUUACAGUGUAUCUUAUAUCAAAGUUAUAUGGGAUAUAGGUGCCUAUUUCAAUCUAAUCUAAUAUGUAAUAUACUAAAUACUAAUAUGUUUUAUAAUAAUAAAUAUAGAUCGAGGACUCGAGGUACCAUUUGGAGUAAAUAAAGAAUUUUCCAAAAUGAUAUCCAGACAAACCUACAGAAAAGAAAGUGUGGAAAAUAUAAAUUAUAAGAAUGCUGUAAAACACACAGUAAUCAAACCGU